rnacentral:siRNA from 1 species
UGGUGAAAAUAGUGUCUUCCC